UGUCACAGAACUAUCAAGAACGUAAUUAAAACUCUUAGUGCAGUGUCCAAGUCAGAAUAUAGGGGUUAAGAACACAUGGCUCAGAGAUAAGAACCUGUGGGAGGAGGACUGCCUUACGGGAGAGCUCUGUUGGCCGGAUGCCCUCCAGGUCCCACACAUCACGCCAUGAAGAUGGCUGCCUCCUCCUGGGGAGGAUGGAGUUGAGGAGGAGGAGGAGGAAGGCGGCGUCUGGGAUACCUCCUGAGCGUCUAAGCAGGCCUGCAAGGCAGCCUGCAGCUUGGCCUCUACCCGUGUGAUGCAGCAAACACACUUGCAAGGCAUGUUCUACUCUUCAAAUGACGGUAUAUAGAACCCGCGGGUACUUAUAAGGUGAAGAUUGACCCUGUGUGAAUGACAAGGAAGUGAUUCCUGAAGUUCCAGAGGGAGGAAGGGAUUUGCUCAAAGUCACCCAGCAGGCAGUGUUAUUGACGCUGUUUCACAAACGAGGACCUCCGAUGGAAGGAGCUAGGCUACCUGGGAGAAAUGAUAUUCUGCUGGCAUCCCACUACACUUUCUACCUGAGGCAUCGUCCCUAAAACACUAGGACAUCAGGAAAACCUAAUGAUGACUACUGUUUCAUUUAGGGCCCUCUCAGCUGCAAGUACAAAGACAUAGAAACCAAGUAUUGGGUUUUUAGCUGAGAAGCCCAGCAUCAGGCUGGACCACCAUCUGCGCAUCCUGUCUGGGGUUCAUACACAACAAAGACCUGAUUUCUCUCCUGUUCUCCGCUCAGCUUUCAUGGUCUCCUGGAGCUGAGAUCUUCUCAGCCCACAGGUGAUGACAGAAUGGAGAUAGUGGUUCCGGCUUCAAUGCUUCCAGGUUCAAGUCCACGGGGAAGAACCCUGCCUCCCUCUCAGAAGGCUCAGCUCCAGUCCCCUGGGUUCCAGUAGAAGCCCAAGCCCCUCCAGGAACCCCUUACUGUUACUGUGAAGGCGGAAUAUGGCUUUGGUUAAUUGAGGCCAACUCACAGUGCUAGAUCAAUCCCCCUAAACCACAAGGGCGGAGGGUGGGACCAGAUAGGUUAUUAAGGGAAAUUUGGGUACUCUUUUACCCAGAGGGUGAACAGAUGCUAAAUGGCCCAACUAUGCACAUGUGUAGCCAUCCACUGCAACAAUGCGUAGUAGUUGGUUAAUAAAUUUAUUUUCAUUUACCAAUUGAUUUAUCAGCAAAAUGAAU
rnacentral:lncRNA from 1 species